rnacentral:lncRNA from 1 species
GCUGAGCGCCGCCAGGUGAGUAGGUCGGCGCCGCUCGGCUCCCGAGCCUCCGCGGUGCACCUGCUGCCGGGUGGGCGCCGCCCCGGUCCCGAGCCUCCGCGCCCACCCCGCCCGCUCUCCCGGGCGCCGCCUGUCAUCCUCGGGGUGCAGGGCAGAGGCACGGCGUCCCCCGCGCUGGCAGCACUUCCGCAAACGUAAUUGGAGUCGGGAAAACAAAGGCGCUGCCCGGGAGCCCUCGCCCGCCGCCCCAGCUGCUGCAGAAGGUGGGGGCGCGGGUGGGCCUCUCCGGUCUAGGCUCGUCACAGCACAGCCCCCACUGUCGCCCUGGAGAAAGUCUACCUCUGCUUUCGGUGGAUGAGAGUACUUGUCCAUCUUCGUCUUCACCAGCAUUUUACAAGGUACUGCUAGGAUUAUAAACUCAAACUUCUUUUCCUUAGCAUGCUAAGUAAUACGCUUUUACUGAAGGUAAUUAUAUCAUUAGAAUUGAUAGCACUCGAUAAUUCUCAAUUAUCAGAACCUUAACAACACAAGAAACAGCUGAAACAUUUUAAAUAACAGGUGGAAUUGGCUAAGGGCACACAAACUUUUUUUUAGACUAUAGUGUAUUUAAUAGAAUCAACUAAAAAGGAUUGCUAAUAAGUUCAUGACUAUAGAAAAAUGCAUUUUAAAUCUUGAUAUCUAUAUUAUGGUUAGAUUAUAAAUGUACUGAAAGGUGUGUCCAAAGGAAGUGCUUUGAGUAUAAUGCCUCUUCCUGUGGAGAGACUUGCUUUCUUUAACCCCUUCACUUCCUUGUGUCUGAUACCAGCAUAGACACAUGAUAAUACCAGCAUUUUAUUGAACAAUCAUUUAUUAAGGAUCCAUUUUAAUAUACUGCUCAUCCAUAUCCAAGAUAGUGCUAUGAAUGGUUAUAUUACCAUUACCAUACUGAAGUUAUGGUUUUAAUUUCCAAUGUUCCUGUUUUUUUUGUGUGUUCUUGGACCCAUAUUUUUUCCAUAAUUAUAUUGACCAAACUUACUCCUUUCCUAAGAUGUUGGGGAGGGAACUCCUUGUGUAACUCUGGCUGAAAGAAUUCAUUUAGCUGGUUUUCAAGAGCAACCUCUCAGCCACUGUAUGCAUUUUGUUGUUUUAAAAACUGAUUUUUAUUUUAUAUAAAUUAUCUCAGAGGUAUAAUAAACAAUUAUUUACUAAAGGACA